ACGCACGUGUGAAACUUGAAGGAAUUGACGGAAGGGCACCACAAGAACGCGUGGAGCAUGUGGCUUAAUUUGACUCAACGCGGGAAAUCUUACCGGGUCCGGACACACUGAGGAUUGACAGGCAAUAUUAAAUAAAGAAAAUUUUUGGACUAUCUGAUAUUUAUGUUAAAUAUGCUAGUCCUUUCAUGAUUAUGUGAUAGGUGGUGCAUGGCCGUUCUUAGUUCGUGGAGUGAUCUGUCUGCUUAAUUGCGUUUCACUAAGGGCUUAUCUAAUCAUAACGUGUGUUGCUAGAGUUUUAUACCUUUGUGACCCCUUUAAUUAGUGUGUGUCUAUAAUGGUAGCUUUGGCUCACACAAUUAAGUCCUGAAAGCAACGAACGUGACCG
rnacentral:rRNA from 1 species